GCCAACCGACAUCGGGGAACAUCCAGGUCAGUUGCAUGGCGUGUAUUGUAGCUGUGUAUCUGAUUUCUUGUUGACAGCUGCUGCAGGUUGUCUCUGACAUACAUCAAGGAGGACAGGAUGUAUUGGCUGUGGAUGGAGCAGCACAUCAUGGCAAUAAGGCGCGUGUCCCCACAGGAGGAUUCCAUACAAGAUGUGACUAUGAAAAAGGGAGUGAUAAGCUGAGACCAGGUAAUCCCUGGAGACAAUGUGUCUCAGUUUUCUUAUAAGGAAUAUAACCCUGGAAAGUCUUUUGCAGACCUCAGCCACAUGUUGACUCCACCUCAAC